CCCCAAGGCCCGGGCCGCACUGGUACCCCGACCCCCAGCACCUGCUGGGGCCCUCCGAGAGAGCACCGGCAGAGGCACUGGCAUGAAAUACAGGUAUGGGGGCGGCCGGGCAGCCCGCCCCAUCUGCUCCCCUUUCCUGACCUCUGAGGCUUCUUGGGAUGCCGCCAGAACCCCCUCAAACUUCGCUAAAAAGGUCCCAGCUCAUUCCAUCUCUUCAACUCAUGACAGCACUCCCUUACUUGGUCCCUUCCUUGGUCACCAUCGAUAACCCUGACUAGGAGAAAAUCAAGUUUACCAAGGUUGACAAGGUCCUGUCACACCCAGGGGAUACUCCUAAGCUUCCCUCCUUACCCCCGGGAAGGCCAGAGAUGCUGGGAUCUCCAGGCUGCGCUCCCCUGCGCCCCCAUAAAUUGUCCUUGGGCCGGUGUCCUGGGAAGAAGGGAGGAAGGAAACAGCUUCUCACUCUGGCCUACUCAGGGUGCUGACCCAGAUACUGCCCCACCUGCCCCAAGAGCCCCGGUAUCCUGCGACCUUUCUUGGUGGGGAGGGAAUGGGGCCCUGGGAAGGAUGGACCACAUCUCUCAACCCAGUACUGAGGAACAGGGCCCCAGUGGGGAAGGUAGACUGAAAUGUAACUGACUUUGUCUCAGAAAACCACUGGGCUCUCAGAACUCACAGAGGGGAGAUGGGAGGGACUCCUGUUUGGAAGUGAGCAGAGGUCACUCAUCUGACCUGGCUUUGUCACUUGAGGACUUGGAUCCCCUCCAUGUGGCAACCCUGAUUGGGAAGCUGAGCCGACUACCUGGGUGAGAGGCCUUGGGAGGAGGGGGCUUUCUGGUUCGGAGACAGACUUCACAAGCCAACAGAAGCAGGAGUGGAGAGGGGAAGAGGGAAAAUUGUCAUACUCUCCACCCAGGUGUCCCACCUGCCUUUGUUGGUGGCCCAUCUGCCUAGCCUAUCUAAGGACCCUUGCCUGCCUGAGUGUCUGAACUUGAUUUGGUUUACCCGCUCCACCCCGAUGUCUGCCCUUUAGCAUAGCACUUUCUAUCUGAGGGUCUGUUUUCACAAACUCAUCACAAUCAGCUAGUCACAUUCCUCCCAGCCCCUGACUCCACAUAUCCCAGAGAUGACUCAAACACAGACAAGCCCCACCUGAAGAAACACAAACCAGGCAGCACAUCUUUAGUGUGAUAGGAGGGAACAGAGGCAUUGGACAGUGGCUUCAGAGGAACAGUCAUUUAUUUGUUCACUUGAGCUACAGCCAUAGCACUGCCCAAUUCGGUAGGCCCACUGGGUCUAGUUUCUUUGGACGGAGACACCCUGACGCUUCUCAGUCUGGAGGGAGAGGAGCUGGGGGCUGAUAAUCUAUGUCCCUAAUGGAAGCCCCACCCCUUCCUGCUCCUUCUGUAUCGUGCAGGAACCUAGGGAAGUCUGGUCUUCGGGUAUCCUGUCUUGGCCUAGGUACCUGGGUCACAUUUGGUUCUCAGAUCUCAGAUGAGACAGCAGAGGAUGUGCUGACAGUAGCCUAUGAGCAUGGUGUAAACCUGUUUGACACCACCGAAGUGUACGCAGCAGGAAAGGCUGAAAGAACCCUAGGCAACAUCCUCAAGAACAAAGGUUGGAGGAGAUCAAGCUAUGUCAUCACCACCAAGAUUUUUUGGGGAGGACAGGCAGAAACUGAGCGAGGAUUGAGCCGCAAACACAUUAUUGAAGGCUUGCGAGGAUCCCUGGAACGCCUCCAGCUGGGAUAUGUGGACAUCGUCUUUGCCAAUCGCUCAGACCCCAACAGUCCCAUGGAGGAGAUUGUGCGAGCCAUGACCUACGUCAUCAACCAGGGCAUGGCCCUAUACUGGGGGACAUCCCGAUGGGGGGCUGCAGAAAUCAUGGUGAGUGUGCCACCCCACUUCCCCCUGUCUCACAACUGGUUCCCACUUUUCACAUGGCCACUCCAAACCCCACUCUACUGGAGGAGGGAGAGUGGAAGAAAAUGGAGAGAGUGCUCUGACCCCCAUUUCUUCCCCACCUCAACCCAGGAGGCCUACUCCAUGGCCAGACAGUUCAAUCUGAUUCCUCCAGUGUGUGAACAAGCUGAGCACCAUCUGUUUCAGAGAGAGAAGAUGGAGAUGCAGCUGCCAGAGCUCUACCACAAGAUUGGUGUUGGCUCAGUCACCUGGUCCCCUCUGGCCUGUGGCCUUAUCACCAGCAAGUAUGAUGGACAAGCCCCAGAUACCUGCAGGGCCACCAUCAAAGGCUACCAGUGGCUCAAAGACAAAGUGCACAGUGAGGAUGGCAAGAAGCAACAAGCCAAAGUCAUGGACCUUCUCCCCAUCGCCCACCAGCUGGGCUGCACUGUGGCACAGCUUGCUAUUGCGUGGUGUCUCCACAGUGAGGGUGUCAGCUCCGUCUUGCUGGGGGUAUCCAGUGCAGAGCAGCUGAUAGAACACCUGGGCGCCCUACAGCUGGGAGAGCAGAGUAAAACCAAUUUCCAAAAGAGAGAAGUCGGCAGCAUGCCAUUUACUGGGUUAGCAACCAACUGGAUCAACUAAUGAACACUUACAUCCACUCCUGUCAUCUCCCACUCAUUUGGGAAGACUGUGGAGGAAACAAAAAGGAUGAAGGCAGGCUUGGAGGGAGUAGAGGGUGGUGUUCCUCCCACCGCCCCAGUCCCGGCAGCACUUGCGCCA